GAAGGUUUUUAGCAAGUUCUAGCCAAAAUGUUAAAAUACAAGAAAUGCAUCUCAUUACCCACUUCAUGGUGUUGUACAUCUCCUCCGUCUCCCUUUCCGUCAGGGUCUUCUUCAGGGUGCCCAGGAAGAAUGGGUUCGGGUGCUUCAUCCUGGGAAUCUGAUGACAAAGCAUUUUUACCCUGUGACCCUCCGGACCCCAGGGAGUCCCGACGGCCCCCCAGCUUUCUCCCCGAGUCCGGUGUAGAGUGUGGACUGAGGCCUGGAGCCAGUGAUGUCCCAGCAUCCAUCUGGCCCUCGCUGCCGCUGUCCGAUUGGCUCCUCUGAGGGCUGCUCCGCCGGGCCCUCUCUCCGAACAGGCUGCGGCCCCUCGACCCCCCCGAGGAGCCUCUGACGGCCCCCGCCAGCUUACUGAAGACGGGGGAGGACGAGGCGAGGCUGUCCAGGCGGUCGCGGGCCGCGGGGAGGAACCAGUCGGCACAGGACAGGCAGGGGGCCGGGGGGGGCGUUCAGGCGCUCCUCAACACCAGCCUGCAACACCUCCAGCUGCAGCAGGGUGGCCUUCACCUGGGCUCAGAGAGGAGUGGCACUUUAUAGGCUUUUCCUUUUUUCAGCAGGAUGAGUGAGGAGGGUACAAGGACAUCACAUUCAAGAUGUCAUGACACCAAGAAAUUAACUGGCAACACAAUUUGACUUAAAUGAAAUAGUAGCAAUUAAUACGUCAUCCCCACUCAUAAACGAACACUGACCCAAACCUCCCUUCCCCCCUCCGAACUAACACAAACUUGAUAUGCUUUUUCAUCCAUAUUAGUUCUUAAUCUUAGUGUUUGGUUUGCAUUCAAAUAAAAACCUUGAAAAAUGAA